rnacentral:rRNA from 1 species
CGACUUGGAGGUUGUUCCCUUGAGGAGUGGCUUCCGGAGCUAACGCGUUAAGUCGACCGCCUGGGGAGUACGGCCGCAAGGUUAAAACUCAAAUGAAUUGACGGGGGCCCGCACAAGCGGUGGAGCAUGUGGUUUAAUUCGAUGCAACGCGAAGAACCUUACCUACUCCUGACAUCCAGCGAACUUUCCAGAGAUGGAUUGGUGCCUUCGGGAACGCUGAGACAGGUGCUGCAUGGCUGUCGUCAGCUCGUGUUGUGAAAUGUUGGGUUAAGUCCCGCAACGAGCGCAACCCUUAUCCUUUGUUGCCAGCGAGUCAUGUCGGGAACUCAAAGGAGACUGCCGGUGAUAAACCGGAGGAAGGUGGGGAUGACGUCAAGUCAUCAUGGCCCUUACGAGUAGGGCUACACACGUGCUACAAUGGCGCAUACAAAGAGAAGCGACCUCGCGAGAGCAAGCGGACCUCACAAAGUGCGUCGUAGUCCGGAUCGGAGUCUGCAACUCGACUCCGUGAAGUCGGAAUCGCUAGUAAUCGUGGAUCAGAAUGCCACGGUGAAUACGUUCCCGGGCCUUGUACACACCGCCCGUCACACCAUGGGAGUUGGGUUGCAAAAGAAGUAGGUAGCUUAACCUUCGGGAGGGCGCUUACCACUUUGUGAUUUCAUGACUGGGGUGAAGUCGUAACAAGGUACC